rnacentral:rRNA from 1 species
UUGUGGUUAAAAAGCUCGUAGUUGGAUCUCAACAGCCUUGAAGCGGUUAACUUUGUAGUUUUACUGCUUUAUAGGCUGUGCUUUUGCUGGAGGUUUAGGGGUGCUCUUGAUCGAGUGUCUCUGGAUGCCAGCAGGUUUACUUUGAAAAAAUUAGAGUGCUCAAAGCAGGCUAAAAUGCCUGAAUAUUCGUGCAUGGAAUAAUAGAAUAGGAUGUCGAUCCUAUUUUGUUGGUUUUCGGGACUCGACAUAAUGAUAAAUAGGGACAGUCGGGGGCAUUUGUAUUC